GCUCUAAUAUUUUUCUAAUGCAUUCCCCAAAUAACUCGCACCAAAUAAAACAUUUUACCAAUUUAGUAAAGGCGAUUAAAAAAUUCCUAGAAGCUAUAGAAACAAGUACCGCAAGGGAAAAGUGAAAUAAAAAUGAAAUACCUUAAAGCACUACACAGCAGAGAUUUAACCUCGUACCUUUUGCAUCAUGGUCUAACUAGUCCAACCAAGCAAAACGCACUUUAAGUUUGACCCCCCGAAACUAGGUGAGCUACUUAAGAACAGCCUUUAGGGCCAACCCAUCUCUGUUGCAAAAGAGUGGGAAGAUUCUUUAGUAGAGGUGACAGACCUAUCGAACCUAGAGAUAGCUGGUUAUUCAGGAAAAGGAUUUAAGUCCUACCUUAGGUUUUUUAUACCAUAAAAUAUUUAACUAACCUCAAGAGCUAUUCAGAUAAGGUACAGCCUAUCUGAAACAGGAUACAACCUCAACGAAAGCGUUAAAGCUUCACUAAUUCCACCAAAAAUCCCACAAACCAAACUAAACCGUUAAAUUCAUACUGAAUGACUUCAUAUUUCUAUGAAGAACUAUAUGUUAGAACUAGUAACAAGAAGUAGACCUUCUCCAAAAAUGUAAGCUUGAGCCAUAAUGAACCACUCACUGGCAUUUAAAGUAUAACUCUUCUAGUAGCAACUUCAACAAGAAAACCCUACCUAUUUACACGUCAACCUUACACCAGCGCAUUUCUGGAAAGAUUAAAAGAGUGGGAAGGAACUCGGCAAAUUAUUAACCCCGCCUGUUUACCAAAAACAUCGCCUCUUGACUCCCAUAAGAGGUCCAGCCUGCCCAGUGACCAAGUUAAACGGCCGCGGUACCCUAACCGUGCAAAGGUAGCGCAAUCACUUGUUCUUUAAAUGAGGACUAGUAUGAACGGCAUCACGAGGGUUACACUGUCUCCCCACUCCACUCAGUGAAACUGAUCUCCCCGUGAAGAAGCGGGGAUAAAAAUAUAAGACGAGAAGACCCCAUGGAGCUUUAAACUCAGUAUCAUCUGCUACCACAAUAGCCAAGUAACAAUGCAGCAAUGACAACUAGUUUUUGGUUGGGGUGACCGCGGAGUAAAACAAAACCUCCGCAACGAAAGGAACUAACAACCUAAUCUAAGAGUAACAGCUCUAAGAAUCAUAUAAAUUGACCUAACUGAUCCAAUUACUUGAUCAACGAACCAAGUUACCCUGGGGAUAACAGCGCAAUCCAUUUAAAGAGCUCAUAUCGACAAAUGGGUUUACGACCUCGAUGUUGGAUCAGGGUAUCCCAGUGGCGCAGCAGCUACUAAC
rnacentral:rRNA from 1 species